rnacentral:rRNA from 1 species
GAUGAACGCUAGCGGCAGGCCUAACACAUGCAAGUCGAGGGAGAAGCCCUUUCGGGGGCAGAAACCGGCGCACGGGUGCGUAACGCGUAUGCAACCUACCUUUCACAGGGGGAUAGCCCGAAGAAAUUUGGAUUAAUACCCCAUAAUAUUAUUGGAUGGCAUCAUUUGAUAAUUAAAACUGCGGUGGUGAUAGAUGGGCAUGCGUCCUAUUAGCUAGUUGGAGUGGUAACGGCACCCCAAGGCUACGAUAGGUAGGGGUCCUGAGAGGGAGAUCCCCCACACUGGUACUGAGACAGGGACCAGACUCCUACGGGAGGCAGCAGUGAGGAAUAUUGGUCAAUGGUCGGAAGACUGAACCAGCCAUGCCGCGUGCAGGAAGAAUGCCUUAUGGGUUGUAAACUGCUUUUAUAUGGGAAGAAUAAGGCGUACGUGUACGUUGAUGACGGUACCAUAUGAAUAAGCAUCGGCUAACUCCGUG